GCCAGAGUGAAGUUAAUGCACAAUGUUGAAUGCUUGAAUAUUUACUGAUGAAUAUUGUUUACUGCUCAGAACUGACCCAUAAGUGCAUAAUGGAAUGUGGACAUCAUACCUUGCGACCCGGAAGAAUUCUUCCGACGACAUUCCUCACACUAUCUUGGCUCCACAACAUGACACCAUGUUCUGCUCAUUAUGUUAUGUACUCUAUGUUAACUCAAUGUACAGCUCUGUUUAUAUGAAAAUUUUUGACAAUAAAGA